GGUGAUUUGGCUCAGUGGUAGAGCGCUUGCCUAGCAAGCGCAAGGCCCUGGGUUCGGUCCCCAGCUCCG
rnacentral:tRNA from 1 species